UACGUAGGGUGCAAGCGUUAUCCGGAAUUACUGGGCGUAAAGCGUGCGCAGGCGGUUUUGUAAGCCAGAUGUGAAAUCCCCGGGCUUAACCUGGGAAUGGCAUUUGGGACUGCAAGGCUCGAGUGCGGCAGAGGAGACUGGAAUUCCUGGUGUAGCAGUGAAAUGCGUAGAUAUCAGGAGGAACACCGAUGGCGAAGGCAGGUCUCUGGGCUGACACUGACGCUCAUGCACGAAAGCGUGGGGAGCAAACAGG
rnacentral:rRNA from 1 species